GGGGGAUAUUGGACAAUGGGGGGAACCCUGAUCCAGCGACGCCGCGUGAGUGAAGAAGUAUCUCGGUAUGUAAAGCUCUAUCAGCAGGGAAGAAAGAAAUGACGGUACCUGAGUAAGAAGCCCCGGCUAACUACGUGCCAGCAGCCGCGGUAAUACGUAGGGGGCAAGCGUUAUCCGGAAUUACUGGGUGUAAAGGGAGCGUAGACGGUGAUGUAAGUCUGGAGUGAAAGGCGGGGGCCCAACCCCCGGACUGCUCUGGAAACUAUGUGACUGGAGUGCAGGAGAGGUGAGCGGAAUUCCUAGUGUAGCGGUGAAAUGCAUAGAUAUUAGGAGGAACACCAGUGGCGAAGGCGGCUCACUGGACUGUAACUGACGUUGAGGCUCGAAAGCGUGGGGAGCAAACAGG
rnacentral:rRNA from 1 species